rnacentral:rRNA from 1 species
GCCACAGCGAUCGUUGGGUGAUAUCCGCAGCCAGGACUGCUUCUGUUUUGGUGCAACGACUAAGUCGUAAUGGCCGGCCCUGCCGGUAAAGAGAUAGUCUCAAUCUCGUGGGGAGACCCAUGACAGCUUUUGCAUUAAAUCAGUUAUCGUUUAUUUGAUAAUACCUUACCACUUGGAUAACUGUGGUAAUUCUAGAGCUAAUACAUGCUAAAAACCCCGACUUCGGAAGGGGUGUAUUUAUUAGAUAAAAAACCAAUGCCCUUCGGGGCUCCUUGGUGAUUCAUAAUAACUUAACGAAUCGCAUGGCCUUGCGCCGGCGAUGGUUCAUUCAAAUUUCUGCCCUAUCAACUUUCGAUGGUAGGAUAGUGGCCUACCAUGGUCUUAACGGGUAACGGGGAAUUAGGGUUCGAUUCCGGAGAGGGAGCCUGAGAAACGGCUACCACAUCCAAGGAAGGCAGCAGGCGCGCAAAUUACCCAAUCCCAAUCCGGGGAGGUAGUGACAAUAAAUACUGAUACAGGGCUCUUUCGGGUCUUGUAAUUGGAAUGAGAAAAAUCUAAAUCCCUUAACGAGGAACAAUUGGAGGGCAAGUCUGGUGCCAGCAGCCGCGGUAAUUCCAGCUCCAAUAGCGUAUAUUAAAGUUGUUGCAGUUAAAAAGCUCGUAGUUGAACCUUGGGUCUGGCUGAUCUGUCCUCCUAAUCGAGCGCAC